GCCUCACUCAGAUGGUGGGAAAAUGGCUCUGCCUUGUGGAAGUCGGGGCCCUGUGGAGAAAUACCUUGAAAAUGUCUAUUGUGUUAUUCUCUAUAUUUAUUACUUUUUAUAAUACUCCUACUAUUGAGUCUUACGCAAGCUUUUGUAGGGUGGCUGAUCGCCCGGUUUUCUUGGGACCGAGGCAGUUCAGGCAGCGUGGCAUGACUGGUCACCCGCCUUCCCAGCCUGGGCUUUACUGCCCACCCUGGGGCUGGCGAUGCCAGAUGCGAUCCAUGGCCAUGAGGUCAGGGUGGCACUGGCCUCCGUGCUUGGUGGGACAUUCGGGGUUCAGGUGGGGGACAAGUUGGAGCAGUUGGGGUGGCCCACGUGGACAGUCUGUUGGCACUGCCCUCCAGUGAUUCUAGGCCUGGUCUAUUCACUCAGCUCUCACGCGGCCUUCCCCACAGCUCUUCUCCAAGUCCAGCCUGCGUGCCCACUGUCCCAGCUGCCCGGAGCCCCUCCCUCUGCUUCUCGCGCCCCCUUCCCUCCUCUGCCGCCGCUGUGGACUCCGUCAGCUCAGGAGCGGUUUCCGCUGUGUUCAGUCCUUCUGCACGUGCCCAGAUGCACAACGGUUUUGGACACGUUUCCCGCUCUGAGAGUUAAUGCUACGUGGCUGCUGCUUACACGAAUACAUUAGAGCUGUGUGGAAAUUCACGUCCAUAGCUCGGCAAAGCCCUCCGUUCCCAGAGCCGGCGUUCACUAGGCCCUUGACCUGCCGACCUCUCCAGGAGUGUCCGAGAUUCCCGCAGUGCCCAGCCGGGGCGUCAUCCCCCCGGGGCAGCUUUCAGGGAAGGCUGGGGAACAGUAGCUCAUCCUCACCUCCAGCCCCAGGGCUCCAUCCGGUUUGUGAUUAUUUACGUGGCCGCCUCACCGCUUCGGCUGGAGGAGGAGCGAUUCUAGAGCCUGUGCAGCUUCUCUGUCUGUCGUGGACACACAGUGGACAGAGGUCUGCUUCCAGGAGUGGCAGGACUUGGAGAAGUCCUAAUCAUCCCUUUAUUUCUGAGUUUUCCUUCAGGAAUAAAAUAAAUUCCUCAAAGGUGUUAGUUAUCCUUUGUCGUAACAAUCCUGA